rnacentral:lncRNA from 1 species
GCAGCUCCUGUGCGUGGAGAGGAAGAGGAGGAAGGCCUGCACGGAGCCACAGAUGUUCCCUGUGCCUGCACAGAUGGAAGAAUGUGAGUUGAAGUGAUCUAAAGCCACGUGGCAAGUUGGUGACAUCACUGGGAGCAGAUUCUGGGAGUUGCAUGCCUGCAACCCUGGCCCUCUUCCUCUUCUGAAGAGAAAGGCAGGUAAACAUGGCAGACCCAGGAGGUUUUCUCAAAGACCUGAGAUAGAAAACUCUGAAGGCAGAUGUCCAAGAAGACAUUUUCACAGAAAAAAGGUACAUGUGAGAAUAGGAAUGAAUAGGAAUGAGUUCUGGAACUUGCUUCAAGUAUUGAAGAUCAUGCCACGAGUUUUAGAAUUUCUAGCAAACCUGCCUACAGCAAAAGAAAUGGUUAGCAGUGUCUGCGUUUGAAGAUUCCUAAAGCUUCAUCUUUUCUCGUACAUGGGUUCAAAUAAACUCCAACACUACAGUCA